UUAAAGGUUACUCCCUUGUUCGUUACAGCCUUCAUCUUAUUUUAUUAAAGGUUACUCCCUUGUUCGUUAUAGCCUUCAUCUUAUUAUAUUAAAGGUUACUCCCUUGUUCGUUAUAGCCUUCAUCUUAUUAUAUUAAAGGUUACUCCCUUCUUCGUUAUAGCCUUCAUCUUAUUAUAUUAAAGGUUACUCCCUUGUUCGUUAUAGCCUUCAUCUUAUUAUAUUAAAGGUUACUCCCUUGUUCGUUAUAGCCUUCAUCUUAUUAUAUUAAAGGUUACUCCCUUCUUCGUUAUAGCCUUCAUCUUAUUAUAUUAAAGGUUACUCCCUGUUUUGUUCUUCGCUCAUUUUCCGUUUUUUCCACUGCAAGUGUGCAUAUUUAUUUAUUUAUUUAUUUAUUUUCAUUUGUUUAUUUAAUGUUAUUUGUAGUAGAUAACUGAGGGGGGCACUACCCUGGCCUCCUCUUCCUCUGAUUCUCUUACUUCACACAUUUAUCUUAAUACUUCACACUAUUGUCCAUAUGCUUCAUUUUUUUUUUUUUUAUUCAUGACUUUUUAUCCAUACCUCACACUUUUCUUAGUAUUUCACAUUUUUUCUAGAUCAUACACUUCCUACCUGGGGGACGCGGGUUAGGCCUUUAUAAAGUCACUCUAUGGCUGCAUGCCCGCCGCGGCACACCACCACCCUGUGAGGCGUAGAGCCCCGUGCUCCCCUCCAUCCUGGGGUAACAAUCCUAAAACAAACAAACCUGAGAGGCAGGACGCUGCCGCUGCCUGUCACCUGACACCAUCUCACUGAGGAGUGGAUCACGGCGCCGGUGGAGAGAGACUGCCCAUCCCUCUCCACUCCGCCCGGGAAGGAACUCAUGAAUUCUCGGUUGAGUCGCGUGUGCUACCCAUUACACUACAGAACAACAGUGGUUGGCCAGAGUUUCCAUUACCAUAUCGUCAAAGUCCAUGUCCUCCGGAAGAACCAUUAAUUAUAUAAUUAAAUCGUCACUAUUAUUUCCGCCACUUAAAACGAGCAAAGCUUAAUGAAAAUAAGAGGCGUUUUCUCGUCAGAGUAAAUUAAACAAAAGCACUGUAAGCACAUGUCCCUAUUUAUCCCUAUACCGCUGCCGCCAGUUUUAGACCCUUCUUUUCUUGUAUUAAAUCAACUCUUUUAUCACUCAUUAAUUACUCCAUAAAUGAUUUCACCGUCUCGUAUCCCUGGUAGCGUGAUCCGGCUUAAGUUGUUAUUGGAGACUGGUGUUCGGGGAUAAACAAGGGAAAAAGUAAAUAUACAUUUAUUUAAAAUUAAAUGAAAGUAAUUGCCUUACGCAAUAUUCUAUGCUCAGACGAUCAUAACACUGGCAUAUUCAGCAAUGGAUGCAACAUUUGACAAACGACAUGUCUUAAACAUAAUACUACAAUAUGUGCUCAGUUGUUGCCAAUAAUAAUAACACUCGUCGUUCCACAAGCAGUGGUUUGUAUCUCUCUGCUUACAUCACAAUCAUUAUGUACUCUCUUCACAAAAUCCUAAUAACACAUUCCUAUAGUAUAAUCUACUACAAGUCAUGGAAACACAU